rnacentral:piRNA from 1 species
UGUCGAAGAAGAGGGCGCCGGUCGGGAU